rnacentral:rRNA from 1 species
GACGAACGCUGGCGGCGUUCUUAACACAUGCAAGUCGAACGAGUGGCGAACGGGUGAGUAAUACGUGGGUAACCUGCCCUCUUUCUGGGAUAAGCCUUUGAAACGGGGUCUAAUACCCAAUAAGGUGGAUGGGCUCGCGGCCUAUCAGCUUGUUGGUGGGGUGAUGGCCUACCAAGGCGGUGACGGGUAGCCGGCCUGAGAGGGUGACCGGAGACAGAGGAACUGAGAUACGGCCCAGACUCCGACGGGAGGCAGCAGAGGGGGAUAUUGAACAAUGGGCGAGAGCCUGAUGCAGCGAGGCCGAGUGGGGGAUGAAGGCUUUCGGGUUGUAAACCUCUUUCGCUAUAGAACGGGUAGGUGGAGAAGAAGCGCCGGCUAACUACGUGCCAGCAGCCGCGGUAAUUC